AAUAGAUACCCGGGUAGUCCACGCCGUAAACGUUGGGAACUAGAUGUAGGGGCCAUUCCACGGUUUCUGUGUCGCAGCUAACGCAUUAAGUUCCCCGCCUGGGGAGUACGGCCGCAAGGCUAAAACUCAAAGGAAUUGACGGGGGGCCCGCACAAGCGGCGGAGCAUGCGGAUUAAUUCGAUGCAACGCGAAGAACCUUACCAAGGCUUGACAUAUACGAGAACGGGCCAGAAAUGGUCAACUCUUUGGACACUCGUAGACAGGUGGUGCAUGGUUGUCGUCAGCUCGUGUCGUGAGAUGUUGGGUUAAGUCCCGCAACGAGCGCAACCCUCGUUCUAUGUUGCCAGCACGUCAUGGUGGGAACUCAUAGGAGACUGCCGGGGUCAACUCGGAGGGAGGUGGGGAUGACGUCAAAUCAUCAUGCCCCUUAUGUCUUGGGCUUCACGCAUGCUACAAUGGCCGAUACAAAGGGCUGCAAUACCGUAAGGUGGAGCGAAUCCCAAAAAGUCGGUCUCAGUUCGGAUUGAGGUCUGC
rnacentral:rRNA from 1 species